UGAGCCCUUCUAUAAAAAGAGGCAGAGAGAGCCCAGGUGUGACAGGCCAGAACGAGAGACGGGUGCAGCUUUUCCACUCUGCAGAGUUUUCACCGACUUCACCCCACGCAAACUUUACUUUAAGGAGCAUUUGGCCUGUCUGUGAUCAAUCCCCCGGUCAGAGAUUUAGCUGCAUCCGAGACCCCAGCGCCGAUCUACUGCUUCCCCAUCACCAUGGAGGCUUCUCUUGUCAUCUGCAUCCUCGCUGCUCUCCUGGCUACGGGGACCUGUCUGCAGUGUGAGGUUUGCAAUGGACCAGGGAACAACUGCACGGGCAGCAUGCAGACCUGCCCAGCUGGGCAAGACUCUUGUGCCAUCUUCCUUACAGAAGUCAUAC